CGGGCGGGCGACGCGCGGGGGGAGAAGGAGAGCGAGAGCGCGAGGAAAAAAGUUCCCGGGCGGCCUGGCUGCGCUCGCUCGCGGCCCCGGGCGCCAGGUGGGCCGUGCGCGCCCCGACAGCACCCCCUGGCGGUCUGCGCGCCCCACUGCGCGCCCCCCGCCCGCCGGCCGGCCUGCGGGAGGGGGCCUCUGCGGUGGGAUCCCGGUGCGGCCUGGGAGGACUCUAGCGCCCUGCGUACAGGAGCUUCCAGCGUCAGGCCAGGUCCCCACCCUCACCCCACCAUUAGCCCUCACCUGUGCCCACUUCUUUGCAGUUUGAGAAACAUUUUCGAUUUCAAAACUCCAUUGGCUUCAUGUAAACUUCAUUUACUGGGCACCUGGCACCUUGCUGAGUCUUGAGGAAUCAGCAGAGACAAUGCGGUCCCUGCUGUCGUGGAGCUGGCAUCCUGGUGGGAAGAGACAGACAGCAAACAAAUGCUUAGAUACAUGACGAAGAUAAUUUUAGAGCAGUAAGUGCUAGGACGAAAAUUAGCAGGUGAAGUGACGGCUAGGGCUCCUUGGCUGGGGGAGAGAGAAGGAGGCCUGUCUGUGCAAAGAUCUAAAUAGCAAGAGGAACCGCCAUGGGUAGAGUCUGGGAAGAGCAUUUUGUUCUUUUAGGGGCAGGGUCUUGCUGUGUUGCCCAGGCCGAACUUGAAUUCCUGGCCUCAAACAGUCCUCCCACCUCAGCCUUCUGAGUAGCUGGGACUACAGGGGCCUGCCCUCCUGGGAAGAGCAUCACUGGCAGAAAGAACAUCAAGUGCAAAGGUCCUGAGGCAGGAGAGAACUUGGGCAGAGGGGAGCUGGUCAAGGCAUCAGAGCUUGUGGGUGACCUGGGACAAGUGAAUCCUGCAUCUGCAAAAUAAGAUAAGAAAAUCAAGGCUCAGAGAGGUGAAGUCACUGAUCCAAAGUCACACAGCAGGUCAAAAGGAGAUCAUGUUUCCUGCCUGGAGGAGAGGCCCCGGUGGACUGGAAUAGGGGAAAGUGGAGGGGGUGUAUUUCAGGAUAGAAUCCUGCACCCUGCCAGGGACCACGCUUAUCCUUGGCUCACUCAAUAGGAUGCAAGGGCGUUUACUGUGGCCAGGUCUUGUGAGUGCCCAGAGCCCUGUGGCAAGAGGCCUCUGCCAGGGAAAGGGAUGCAGGGAAGUGGAGGCAGUGAUGGGGAAGCAGAGCCAGGAGAGACCCUUGGGCUUCCUUCCUUCAAGGCCUCUGGUCUCUAGCAGAGAGAAGAGAGGGAGCAGGUGAGAGCCCCGCUUAGCUCUAGGCAAUAUUUUUUUUUUUCAGACAGGAUCCCACUCUGUCACCCAGGCUGGAGUGCAGUGGCACAAUCAUGACUCACUGCAGCCUCAACCUCCCAAGCUCAAGCAACGCUCCCAUCUCAGCCUCCCAAGCUCAAGCAACGCUCCCAUCUCAGCCUCCCAAGCUCAAGCGACGCUCCCAUCUCAGCCUCCCAAGCUCAAGCGACGCUCCCAUCUCAGCCUCCCAAGUUGCUCGGACUACAGGUGCACGCUAUCACGCCCAGCUAAUUUUUGUAUUUUUUGUAGAGAUGGGUUUUUGCCAUGUUGCUCAGGCUGGUCUUGAACUCCUGAGUUAAGUGAUCUGCCUUGCCUACCUUGGCCUCCCAUAGUGCUGGGAUUAUAGGCAUGAGCCACUGUGCAUGGCCAACUCCAGGCAAAUUUGAUCACCACAGAGAGGGGAAUUCUGUCCAGUUCCAGGGAUGCCCCUUAAGGGGUCCCAGACCAGCUGGGCCAGAGCCAGACAGGCCUCACUAAGAUCUUCCAUUCAUUCAUUCAAUACAUAUUUAUCGAGCCCAACUUCAUUCUUUUUUUUGUUUUUGUUUUUGUUUUUUGGGUUGGAGUCUCGCUUUGUCACCUAGGCUGGAGUGUGGUGGCACAGUCUUGGCUCACUGCAACCUCCGCCUCCCGGGUUCAAGCAAUUCUCUGCCUCAGCCUUCUGAGUAGCUGGGAUUACAGGCACCUGCCACCACGCCCGGCUAAUUUUUGUAUUUUUAGUAGAGACGGGGUUUCACCAUAUUGGCCAGGCUGGUCUUGAACUCCUGACCUUGUGAUCCACCCGCUUCGGCCUCCCAAAGUGCUGGGAUUACAGGCAUGAGCCACUGCGUGCAGCCGAGCCAAACCUCAUUCUAGAUUCCAUCUCCAGGAAUAAUGAUGUGGGACCCACCACACAGCCCCCAUAGUCUGGCAAGUGAGACAGACAUUGAACCCACUCUAAAGAAGGGUCUCAUUAUCCCAAGAAAAAGACCACUUUGACCACAAGUCAAAGCUCUGGGAACCAACAUUUCUUAGUAAUUGGGAAAAAAAUGUUUAAUUGGAAUUUUGUUUUGAAAAAUGAAAUUUAAACUAUGAAAAUAUACACAUUUUAUUUUCCACAAACAACAUUUAGGUUAAUAUGCUAAUUCUUAGAUUAAUGUGCUAAUACUUAGUGUUAUGGUUUGACUGUCCCCUCCAAAACUUAUGAUGAAAUUUAUUUAUUUAUUUAUUUUUAGAUGGAGUUUUGUUCUUGUCACCCAGGCUGGAGUGCAAUGGCAUGAUCUCGGCUAAGUGCAACUCCUGCCUCCUGGGUUCAAGCAAUUCUCCUGCCUUAGCCUUUUGAGUAGCUGGGAUUACAAGUGGCCACCCCUACACCCAGCUAAUUUUUAUAUUUUUAGUAGAGACAAGGUUUCACCAUUUUGGCCACGAUGGUCUUGAACUCCUGACCUCAAGUGAUCUGCCUUCCUUGGCCUCCCAAAGUGCUGGGAUUACAGUGGUGAGCCAUCAUGCCCGGGUGAUUUAUGAUGAAAUUUAAUUGCCAUUGUGAAGGUAUUAAGAGGUGGGACUAUUAAGAAGUGAUUAGGUCAUAAGGGCAAAACCCUCAUGAAUGGAUUAAUCUCUUUAUUGAAGGAGUGAUCUCAUUAUCAAGACACUGGAUUUAUUGUAAAAAUGAGUUCAGCUCUCUCUUGCUCACUGUCUAGUGCUCUCUUGCCCUUCUGCCUUCCACCAUGGGAUGAUACAGCAUGAAGACCCCCACCAGAUGCUGGUGCCAUACUCUUGGACUUCCCAGUCUUCAGAAGCA